GUGCUGGUGGCUGUGUGGUAGAGUUUCUACCUACUGUGUAGAAGAUCUGAGUUCAAGUCCCAGCUGGGAUG
rnacentral:tRNA from 1 species